CGAUGAAACAUGGAAAGCUAGCUACGGUGGACAACACGUGGAAACAUAAAUCUUUGUCUGGCCUUACAGCCCAUGGACUAAGCCACGAAUGCGUACGAAGACGAAGAAGAACGUGUAUCCCGUGAUAAAAAAAGGUUUGACAAGCUGAUAUCCCCACCUAACGGGCAAAAGCUCCCUGAUCAACGUAUUGAGGACCUACCCGGAUUAGAGCUCUGAUCCUAGCGCCUACGGUUCCUCUAAAACGGAACUCACUAAAUUUAAGUUGGGACAGAUAACCCUUCUUGUCUCCCCCAGGUCUGUCUUUAUAGGUCGUCCGUUUUGGUCCGGAGUCCGGCAUUUACCCCUGCAACCCGGGGAGGUUGCAAGCAUCAGGAGCUCCCACGUUGAUUGGAGUGGCGAUGGUGACUGGGCGUGGCUGAUGACCGACGAUAGGUGUAUUGUAAUUAUUCCUUAUUUUGCUUAUACUUCAUAUAUUUUCCAGACUCUCUAUUUAGGCUAUAAAUCCAAUUCAGUUUGUAGGUUAAGCCUUUUUUUUACUUGUAGGUUAAGCUCUAUUUAGUUUGUAAGUUAAACUCUAUUUAGUUUGUAAGUUACACUCUAUUUAGUUUGUAAGUAACACUCUAUUUAGUUUGCAAGUUACACUCUGUUUAGUUGGUAAGUAACACUCUAUUUAGUUUGCAAGUUACACUCUGUUUAGUUGGUAAGUUUUAAUCUCAUAUAGUUUUUAGGUUGUAACUUCCUGAUGCACGUAGUUUUUAGGAUUAAUUCGCAUGUAGUUUUUCAAGAUUAAUUGACACGUAGCUUUUAAGAUUAUUCGGCAUGUAGAUUUUAGCCUUGUGUUUUUCUUUCUUAUUUGUAGUUGAUUAAUUAAUUUAGGUUGUAGCCAAAAAUGCAAAUUUUCUUGAACACAAAUUCACGGCAAAUAAAAAAACUCUUUCGCUA